UGAUUCAAGUAGUAUCAAGGUUAAAAAGCAGCACAGUCGAGGAAUGUUAAUUUCAAUCAGUGUUCUACGUAGAUCUGUAUCGAUAAUAUUCUGCUUAUCUUAGAUGUUAUUUAAUGAUUUUUCAUACAUUAUCUUUUAAUUUCGCUACGUCUAAUAUAAUUUAUAUAAGGGGAACUGUGUUAAACAUAAUAAAAUCUAGCAAUGAAUUAUUUAUUAUCACUCGCAAUUACAAGUUAAGGGUUAUGGAACCAGUUUGAAAAACGAGGAUCGUUUAAUAAUUACUGUUGACGAUGUAAACGAUGUAAAAUUAAAAUUGGAAUUUAAUUACAAUACUGCUUUGCAUUUUUGUAACAUGGGAAAAUAUAAACAUAAUUUUAUCAAUGUGGAAAAUCUCUUGGUCGAAGGAUUAAAUUGAAGGAUUAAAAUUGAGAAAAAAAAAAA